GCAGCAGAUCUCAUUAUAUGUGGGCAGAGUAUGUGUAUUUUGCUUUUUCAAGGCCAAGGUUAAGAAAACACUGGAUUUUUUUUUCUUUUUGUUUUUUUUUUUUUCUUUUUUCUGUCAUAAGGUGUAGUGGGUUUACGUGGCAAGGUUUUGGUAGCAGGGGGUCAUAGGGGUGGCUUCUAUGAGAAGGAUCUAGAAGCUGCCCCAUGUUUGGUAAGGGCCCCACUGCUGACCAGAGCUGAGCCAAUAAGUGAUGUUGUUUGAGCCUCUGUGAGAGCAUAUUUAAGACAGGGAAAAAAAAACGCUGCACCACACAGCAGCUGGGAGAGUGAGAGGAGUGAGGAACAGCCUUGCAGGCAGCCAAGCCCAUGGAGUACCACGGUGGAGCAGGGUUCCACCCUGCAGCCCGUGGAGGAGACCACGGUGGAGCAGGUGGACCUGCACCGAUGGAGACUAUGGCCUGUGGAAGACCCCUGCCGGAGCAGAUUCCAGGCCGGAUCUGUAGCCCGUGGAGAGGAGACCACGCAGGAGCAGGUGACCUGGCAGGAGCUGCUGCCGGUGGGGGAUCCAGAGGUGAGGGGUGGAAGAAAAAAAUAGUAUUCUGUUGGAUUGCCACAAAUCUGAAGAGACACCAUUGACUCCUACAGGAUUACUCUGAAUUAACAACAGUGUGACUGAAAAUAGAAAUUGAUUCUUUUGGAUUUAGAUUAGAAGAAAAGAAUCUUAUUCCAACCUUUCUGAUUCUGGAAGUUCACAGACAUUUAUGUAAUUUGUUUCUUAUUGAACAUCAUAACUAGCUGAUAACUGGAAAAUCAGAAAACUUGAGUAUAAGCUUGUUAACCAGAACUACAAUUGUUUAAUCAGCAAAACCCCUUCUACUCAUACUUACACCUUUUAACAACAUAACACCACUAAAAACAAGACUUAUAUCAUAUGGAUUCUUAGUAUGAAACGAAUCAGUGAUUCCAGAGGAGCUGAUGCUAUAAAUGACCCAAGUUUAGAUCUGGCUACAUGCAGGACUCUCUGAAGGUGCCAGGGCUUUGGGGCACUACAUGACUACAACCACUAUCAUAUGUAAUGUGGAGACAAAUCCACAUGCCGUUUAUGUCAAGUCUAAAGUACUUAAAUUUAAGAGGUAGAUGCAACUCACCCAGCAGUUAACCUUUCAGCAGUAGGGCUUAACAUGCCAAUGGACUCUAAAGUAUUUGAUGAUCUGUAAAGCUGACUUUUUGAUGUACUGUCCUUUUUUUUUUUUUUUUCUUUUUCAGAGAUUCACCAUUCUGUCACAAAGAAAUGCAGGUCUAUUCUUUGGAAUGCAUAUUUUUUGUAUCUUAAAUGCAAUAAUAAACAGAUGCUCCCAUGGUAUGGGUGUGUUCA
rnacentral:lncRNA from 1 species